AAGUCCCGUAACGAGCGCAACCCUUGUCCUUAGUUACCAGCACGUUAUGGUGGGCACUCUAAGGAGACUGGCGGUGACAAACCGGAGGAAGGGGGGGAUGACGUCAAGUCAUCAUGGCCCUUACGGGCUGGGCUACACACGUGCUACAAUGGUCGGUACAGAGGGUUGCCAAGCCGCGAGGGGGAGCUAAUCCCAUAAAACCGAUCGUAGUCCGGAUCGCAGUCUGCAACUCGACUGGGUGAAGUCGGAAUCGCUAGUAAUCGCGAAUCAGAAUGUCGCGGUGAAUACG
rnacentral:rRNA from 1 species